UCCAACAUGGCGCGAGGAACGACACGAAGCGAUAAGAACGAGCUUGCUGCGACCGAGAAAACCGGCCGGACGCACGUCUCUCUUUCAUUUCGAGACACUUAAAUACAAAACGUUUGUAAAAGCGGAAAUCGAGGUGCGCAAAGAAGUAGGAGAAGAAGGGGAAAGAGUAGAGGGAGAAGGAUAUGGUGGUAGAGAAGAAGGAGGAGAAGGAGGAGCAUUCGAUCGAGUGUCCCGCGUAUCGAAAGAUAAAUUAUACAGACGAAAGAGCAUCAUCGACAACGAACGAUAGGUCGAAGGCGAAAGUUUCCUUCGUUCGCUUUCUCCUCGAGAUGACGCCGGCCAGAGUCUCUCGAGAAACGAAGCAUGUCGAAAAACAUAAUUAUCGAUAUCGUCGUCAUCGAAGAAUGAAAAUGAAAGAAGUGAAGAAGGAAGAAGAAGAAGAAGAAAAAGAGAAAAAGAUGGAAGAGGAGGAACGAGAAAAAGAAAGAGGAAGUUGGAUUCAUCGAAAGUAUCUAUAAUCCUUCUUUCGUAGUCUUUCAAAAUACAUCGCCAAUUGGUAAACACCUGUCGUAAUUUAACGACCGUCUAUUUGCAUGAGCUGACGUAAUAUGUCGCCUGAGGGUCGUAGGAAAAAAAAAAUCGAAAAAAAAAGACGAAAAACAAAAAAGAAAUAAAAG